rnacentral:rRNA from 1 species
UCCGGAUUCACUGGGGUUAAAGGGUGCGUAGGCGGGCAUUUAAGUCAGUGGUGAAAUACCUGAGCUUAACUUGGGAACUGCCAUUGAUACUAUUUGUCUUGAAUACUGUGGAGGUCAGCGGAAUAUGUCAUGUAGCGGUGAAAUGCUUAGAUAUGACAUAGAACACCAAUUGCGAAGGCAGCUGGCUACACAAAUAUUGACACUGAGGCACGAAAGCGUGGGGAUCAAACAGG